rnacentral:rRNA from 1 species
UACAGAGGUCUCAAGCGUUGUUCGGAUUCAUUGGGCGUAAAGGGUGCGUAGGUGGCGCUGUAAGUCAGGUGUGAAAUUUCGGAGCUUAACUCCGAAACUGCAUUUGAUACUACGGUGCUUGAGGACUGGAGAGGAGACUGGAAUUCACGGUGUAGCAGUGAAAUGCGUAGAGAUCGUGAGGAAGACCAGUGGCGAAGGCGGGAUCUCUGGACAGUUCCU